GACGAACGCUGGCGGCGUGCCUAAUACAUGCAAGUAGAACGCUGAAGAGGGGAGCUUGCUCUUCUUGGAUGAGUUGCGAACGGGUGAGUAACGCGUAGGUAACCUGCCUUGUAGCGGGGGAUAACUAUUGGAAACGAUAGCUAAUACCGCAUAACAAUGGAUGACACAUGUCAUUUAUUUGAAAGGGGCAAUUGCUCCACUACAAGAUGGACCUGCGUUGUAUUAGCUAGUAGGUGAGGUAAUGGCUCACCUAGGCGACGAUACAUAGCCGACCUGAGAGGGUGAUCGGCCACACUGGGACUGAGACACGGCCCAGACUCCUACGGGAGGCAGCAGUAGGGAAUCUUCGGCAAUGGGGGCAACCCUGACCGAGCAACGCCGCGUGAGUGAAGAAGGUUUUCGGAUCGUAAAGCUCUGUUGUAAGUCAAGAACGGGUGUGAGAGUGGAAAGUUCACACUGUGACGGUAGCUUACCAGAAAGAGACGGCUAACUACGUG
rnacentral:rRNA from 1 species